GGCUCGGUAGCUUAGUUGGUAAAGCACUUGUCUAGCGAAUAAGGGUCGUGAGUUCAAGUCUCACCUGAACUG
rnacentral:tRNA from 1 species